GUUAAAAUGGCUGACAAAAAGCAAUAAACUGUAAAUUUAUGAAUGAACAAUGUUCUUUUGACA
rnacentral:tRNA from 1 species